UACGAGGGAUCCUAGCGUUGUUCGGAAUCAUUGGGCGUAAAGGGUGCGUAGGCGGCCAAGUAAGUCAGUUGUGAAAGCCCCGGGCUCAACCCGGGAAGUGCUUCUGAUACUGCUUGGCUUGAGUAUUGGAGAGGUGAGUGGAAUUCCAGGUGUAGUGGUGAAAUACGUAGAUAUCUGGAGGAACACCGGCGGCGAAGGCGGCUCACUGGCCAUAUACUGACGCUGAGGCACGAAAGCGUGGGGAGCAAACAGGGAUUAAGAAAC
rnacentral:rRNA from 1 species